CUGGCUGUAAACGAUGGAUACUAGGCGUUGAGAGUAUCGACCCUCUCAGUGUCGUAGCUAACGCGUUAAGUAUCCCGCCUGGGGAGUACGCGCGCAAGCGUGAAACUCAAAGGAAUUGACGGGGGCCCGCACAAGCGGUGGAGUAUGUGGUUUAAUUCGAUGCAACGCGAAGAACCUUACCAGGGCUUGACAUGUCCGGAACCCUGCCCAAAGGCGGGGGUGCCUACGGGAACCGGAACACAGGUGGUGC
rnacentral:rRNA from 1 species